rnacentral:rRNA from 1 species
UACGAAGGGAGCUAGCGUUUUUCGGAAUUACUGGGCGUAAAGAGCGCGUAGGCGGUUAAUUAAGUUGGAAGUGAAAGCCCAAAGCUUAACUUUGGAACUGCUUCCAAAACUGGUUAACUAGAGUUUGGUAGGGGAUGAUGGAAUUCCUGGUGUAGAGGUGAAAUUCUUAGAUAUCAGGAGGAACACCGGUGGCGAAGGCGAUCAUCUGGGCCAUAACUGACGCUGAGGCGCGAAAGCGUGGGGAGCAAACAGGAUUAGAUACCCUGUAGU